rnacentral:tRNA from 5 species
GAGUCCCGAAUGACAA